AUAAAAACCUGCUGAAUUGCUCUUUGCUAUAUAUGACAUGCAUUGUAUCUCCUUAAGUUCCACAGAAUAUAUAAAGUCUUCAGUUGGAAGCACUGUGCUGUUCUGGUUUGGGACCUUCCACUGUUAAUCCUGUAAAGCCAAUUCGUUACACAAACUGAUUUUAGCAGGCUACGAGCCUGUUGUCCUAGUCUCUAUUCACGGCAAUUGAACAGGGGAUAGAUAGCAAAUCAGUUGCUACCUUGUGUACUAAGUCCCAUGCAAUCAAGAACAACACCUUCUUAUGCUUGGCACUGUAUAAACAAGUAAAACAAGAACAAUCCUGACCUAAUGCAUUCAGUUUGUACCCAGGCACUCAGGGCAGUUAUCUCUCCACUACAGCCUUUAUCCUGGACCUUGUGUUAGCAGUCAACAGGCUCAUCUCAAAAUAUCUGCAUUUAACUGUCACGAUGCAAAAUCCAUACCACUGAUUUGCAAGAACAAUAGUGCUCUAGCAUCAGUGAAGAGAGGCAUUUUUCUUUAGGCUGCUCCAUUUUGAAGUUUGCAUGAAUUGACAUGAAAUCAACACUGGCUUUUGCCAUUUAACACUGGGCUCUGCCUCUCAAGAGUCCAGGAAACAUCAUUACAGAGUGGUCCAGUUCUCAGCAGGGAGUAUAGAUGCUUUGGUGUGUUCAGAGACAAAAAGCUUGUUUAAUGGGACUGCUGUUCAUAGGAUCACACUUGGAAGAAAAUGUGCUCGAUUAGCACAUGUUCAGCUUGGCUUUUCAGGCUUGUGCUGUGUAUUUGUUUUUAUCUCAAGGAAAGAAAAUGUCUGAUUCUUUUCUCGGUCACUCCAGUGUAGAUCAGCAUUAACUCCCCUGAACUCCAUGGAGUGAAACUGUAGACAAGAGAAAUGGCUCGCCUAGGGAGAGAGAAAAUUUGUCAUCUUGCAAUUCUGCUCCAUAGGUGUUUCUGCUGUUCCAGAUGUCUUGAACAAAGCCCCUGGUGAAACAGAUGACUUGAGCACCAUGUUUGAAGUCUGUUGAAACCCAGUGAGCCCUUGUUACACGUUUCCCUGUUCACUGCCACCAUGUACCCUAGACCCCACGCUUCUGUAUGUAAACCAAGCAGCGAUGUUUGCCUCAACAGUUUACCAUGAGCAGCAUCUCAGUUUUAUGUCACAAGUGGCAGAGCUUGGGAAAACACUGCCGUUUGCUUACUUCAAGAGAAGGCUGUCCAGAAGCAAGGAAGAUCAACAUCCAGGUGGGGUGGCUGCUGUCUGCAGCAUCACUCCUUCAUCACCAAAUGCUUCAGGGGUUAUCCAUGUGUAUUGCUUUUGCUCCGGCUGUUCAUACGAACCUCCUGAGGAUGGCCCGGGGUAGCCGCAAGUGACCACAACAUGGAACCACGUUGGAGGAUCUUCACAGGCGCUGCACACCAGCACAUCUCUGAAAGUGUGAUCCACUCCCAGAACCAUUGUGGAUCUGGAAGAAGAAACUUCUUUUCAUUUCACUGAAGGUGAGGAACCCUCCUUAUGCCCCCUGACAAAACCAUUCCAUUCCCAUUGAAAUUAUAUAGAAAUGAGCCCAUUGACUUCACAGGGAGUUGGAUCAAGCUUCCUGUGAUCAAGGACAAUAUGGCACUAAUACGUCAUGCACUAUAAUGGUGAGAUUUAAUGAUGUUGGACGGCAGUUUACUGAAACGAACUUUAGGUAAUGACCCAAGACACAACAGUUUGGAAGCAAGGGAAGAGAAAAAGGAAACCAAGCAUACCAUGCAGUAGAUGAAUUUAACAAUAGCUAGUAUACUUGCAUCUGACAUCAGUGUCUUGGCUCAGUAGCCAGGGAUAUCAUAAAAUCGCCAUGUACAAUUAGGCACAAUCUGCGAUCUGUAUUUCAUUUGAAAGCCAGAACUAACACACCAUGGUUACUACAUUUAUUCUCGAGCUAGAGAGAGCAUGGUCUUUCCAAGUCACGGUUGAAGCUGCUGUCUUGUGAUGGGAAAAAUCUUCUGUUUUCUGACUAAUUUUUAUAAUGUUCCCUGCACCGAGUAAAUUAGUUAGAUUUACUUUACUUAUGGCAUUAGCUUUGGGGGAAAGACACAAAACAAAAGAAUAAAAAAAAUUAUACAUGCAGAAAAAUGCAUAACAUGGGAGCUAAAGCUAUAAAUCCGAUCACCCUGCAUAUCUGGACAUGUUUGUUUGUAUUCAUUGAGGGGAAAAAAUGAAAUAAAUCACGUUUUCAAUUGA